rnacentral:lncRNA from 1 species
ACAGGACCCCCACCUUCGCUCCUGGGAGCCCCGCUGCACCCCAGGAGUUCCAUUCCAGCCUCCCCAGUGCGAGUGCGGCCGAGCGCUGACUUUUGGGGGCUCCCUCCCCCGUCUCACUGGGUCCCUCUGCGGCUCCCCCGCCCGCUGUCCCGGUUCAGACGUGGCUGCACCCCGGAGGGGGGCGCCGGCCGAGACCUGAGACGUGGCGCUCCCUCUCUGCCGGCCUCGGCUUCAGUGCUUGAAUUUCAGCCACAUCCCUAAGCUGCCAUCUCAGACCAGAGGAACAGGGAGGGGGGCUUUCUGGAAAGAACAUCACCUGGAAGAAAUCAGGACAUGACUGUGGGCCAUGAGUGACCUUCAAAGGAAAGCCGGGUAUCUGUGGUCUUUAAGAUGUGGUAAGAUUGUAUUAAAAUUAUAGAAAAAAACCU